rnacentral:rRNA from 1 species
GGCCAGGCAAACAUAGGUCCAUGGCGGAUGCCUGUGGAGCUGUCAGGCGAUGAAGGACGCGACAAGCUGCGAGAAGCCCCGGGGAGGUGCACAUGACCAUUGAUCCGGGGAUGUCCGAAUGGGGUAACCCGCGGGGAGCGAUUCCCGCACCGCGGACGCUGAAUAAAAUAGGCGUGCGGAGCCACACUGGGUGAAGUGAACCAUCUAAGUAACCCGGGAAGAGAAAUCAACAGAGAUUCCGUAAGUAGCGGCGAGCGAAAGCGGAGGAGCCCAAACCGCCUCGAGCGGGGUUGUAGGACUGCGACAUGAAGGAGCCAAGGCUAGCGGAAGGGCAUGGGAAGGCCCGCCACAGAGCGUGAGAGCCGCGUACGCGAAAGCCGAAGCCAUCUAGCAGUAUCCUGAGUAGGGCGGGGCACGAGGAACCCUGUCCGAAUCCGGGUCGACCACGAUCCAAGGCUGAAUACUGAACAGCUACCGAUAGCGAACGAGUACCGUGAGGGAAAGGUGAAAAGAACCCCGGCGAGGGGAGUGAAAUAGAACCUGAAACCAUGGACCGGCAAGAUGUCACGGCCCGAGAGGGUGGUGGCGUGCCUUUUGUAGAAUGAGCCUGCGAGUCAUGUUAUGCGGCGAGGUUAAGGGACAGGAGUUCCGGAGCCGCAGCGAAAGCGAGUCUGAACAGGGCGGAUAUGAGUUGCAUGACAUGGACCCGAAGCCAAGGUGAUCUAUCCACGGGCAGGCUGAAGCAGGGGUAAGACCUUGUGGAGGGCCGAACAGUAAUCUGUUAAAAAAGGUAGUGAUGACCCGUGGAUCGGAGCGAAAGACUAAACAAACCUGGAGAUAGCUGGCUCUCCCCGAAAUGCCUUUAGGGACAGCCUCAGGGAAAGCUUGCGGAGGUAGAGCACUGGAUGGAUGCGGGGGAGUCAAAUCCUACCAAAUCCAAUCAAACUCCGAAUGCCGCAAGCCAGCCCCUGGGAGUGAGACUGCGUGCGACAAGGUUCGUAGUCAAGAGGGAAACAGCCCGGACCGCCGGUUAAGGUCCCGAAACCAUGCUGAGUGUGAAAUGAGGUGCGGAUGCACAGACAGCCAGGAGGUUGGCUCAGAAGCAGCCAUUCCUUAAAAGAGUGCGUAACAGCUCACUGGUCGAGCAUCCGCGCGCAGACAAUGUAGCGGGGCUAAGCAUGGUACCGAAACCGCGGAUUCACGGAUUAGUCCGUGACUGGUAGGGGAGCAUUCCGCAGGCCGGAGAAGGGAUACCCGCGAGGGGUCCUGGAGGAAGCGGAAGAGAGAAUGCAGGCAUAAGUAACGAAAAGACGGGUGGGAUCCCCGUCCGCCGAAAACCUAAGGUUUCCCGCGUAAAGGCAAUCUGCGCGGGGUAAGUCGGCCCCUAAGGCGAGGCGGAAACGCGUAGUCGAUGGGAAAUCGGUAAAGAGUCCGAUACUUCAUAAGUUUCUACGGAAUGACGCAUGAGGUGAAAUCCGGCCGGGCGACGGUAGUCCCGGUCCAAGCGGCAAUC